rnacentral:RNase_P_RNA from 1 species
GGUAAGCCGAAGACAGUUGCUGGUUUUAUAACUAGGGAAACUCCGCACAUCAUAUAGACUGUAAAGUUGAAAGACUUAUGCUGAGAAGUAUGACUCUGGAGCAGAAACGACACGGCCUUUGAUGGAUGACAAUGAUGCUUGACUGAUGGACAUUAAAGGAAUCGGUGAAACGGCCAAUCUACAGGAUGCAAGA